AAACGACGCGUAGCGCCAUUUUUAUUGUGGUUAACCUUUAACCGCUGCUUUGAAAUUGAAUUUUCCGUCGCAAUUCGCUAUUUUGAUUUGAAGGCGGUUUUCAUUUAUUUAUUAUCUAAUUAUAGUGCUUUAUUGUGUGUGAAUGUUUUUGUAAACAGUAUAUUAUAAAAGCAAUCAUUUAGUGUUUACCAGUUUAAACGUGUAAUUGUUUUUUUCGUAUAGUUUGAUUUAUUUGAUAAUAUAAUGGUUUAUAAGUGCUCUGUUCCCGGGUGCAGUACUCGAGGCCGAGAAAAAAAACCUACUCAUUGGCAACCAAAGGGCAAAGUGGGAGUAUAUUGAGAGACUUUAUAAAGUGGAUGGUUUUGGUGGCAGAGCAAGAAGCACCAAACUUACUGAGAAGCACAUAAAUCCAACUUCAUAUGACAAAAUGAAGGUCAAAUUUGCAGCCCAAGUUUUUAGCCGGCAAGUGGCUACAUCACUAGAAAUCCAGAUGAAGUCUCUGCUAUCUCCAGGAUCAUGAUUACAUAAGUUUAAAUGAAGACAUUGGAAAUGGUUUGUUCACAGCAGAAAUUCUUCUUUUUAUAAAUAAUUUGUUUGAUAGUUUAAAUGGUUUUGGUCAUUAUGGGAAUAAGUUAAAACAUGCUCUUUCAUAUAAUUCGGAGCACAUUGCAUUCUGGAAUGAUGCUGUGAAAAAGCUAGCUUCAAUGCGCUUUGACGCUUCCAAUGAAAGGGAAAGGAAGCCUUUAUCACUGAAGCAUUUUGAACAUAAUAUAAAAACAAUAAAACAUUUGUGGUCAGAUCUGCUGAGAAUUGAUGGUGUUAAAUUUUUAAGUCUUAGACGUCUUAAUCAAGAUCCGAUAGAAAACUUUUUUGGUCAAAUAAGGGCACAUGGUAAUUUUAGUACAAAUCCUAAUUGUACUCAUUUUGUAUCGGCUUUUAAAACCUUGUUGAUUAACAACAUUACUACCGGUAAAUCUUUAUACACUAAUUGUUCUGAUGAUGAUGACAAAAUGUUGGGAACAUUAAAACAUUUAGUCAGCCACCAAAAAUAUGGUUCAUACACUGAUAGUCUUCAAUGUAAUGAAACUAACUUUAUAGAAAUUUCUAUACCUAACGAGAAUAUAUUCCAACAUAAGUCUGUACCAUAUAUUGCUGGUGCAGUGUGUGGUUUUGAUGUCCAAUUUGAACUGCAAAGAUUGUGAUAAUUGUACAAAAGCACUAUUAUCUCAGAGAGAGUCAUUUCACGAAUUAAUUAAUUUAAGAGAAUAUAGUUCCAAUGUAGAUAGGUUAUGUUAUCCUUCUAAUAAUUUUAGUCAAAUGGUCUGGCAGAGUAUUUACAUUAUUGACAAGAUGAUGCCAUUUCUUUGCAGUGUUUAUAUUUAUUCUGACUUAAUAAGUAAUUUAAUAAAAUAUAUUGACACUACUUGGUACAACUGUAAUAUUCACAAAACGGCUGUUAUUAAAGCUUUUGGUCCUACAUAGUUAGAAUGCAAGUUAAGCAGUGGUGUAUUAAUUUUAAUAAUAGAAUGAAUAAUAUUGAUUCAAGGCCUAAAGAUAUAGAAAUGGAAACUCUAAUCCGUGAGAAAGUCACAAAAGGAUUGAGUUAUAGAUCACAAAGAAGGCGUAGUUCCUAAUCUCACUUAAUUAAAGUUCUUCAUAGUAUUUUGUCCACAAUUAUUACGAUUUUUGCAAA
rnacentral:misc_RNA from 1 species